UACGUAGGGUGCGAGCGUUGUCCGGAAUUACUGGGCGUAAAGAGUUCGUAGGCGGUUUGUCGCGUCGUCUGUGAAAACCCAUCGCUCAACGAUGGGCCGGCAGGCGAUACGGGCAGACUUGAGUACUGCAGGGGAGACUGGAAUUCCUGGUGUAGCGGUGAAAUGCGCAGAUAUCAGGAGGAACACCGGUGGCGAAGGCGGGUCUCUGGGCAGUAACUGACUCUGAGGAACGAAAGCGUGGGUAGCAAACAGG
rnacentral:rRNA from 1 species